GGGUACCACAAUUCCCACCAGGUGAUUUUCCUCCUUGACCACCUCCUCCUGAACCAUGAGACGGAGGUGUAUGUGAACCUGAACCUGAACUAGGAGGAUUUCCGGUACUCGGAUCAGGAGAGUAAUAUGUCUUUUGUUCUUCAAAAGAAGCUCUAGCCAUAACAGGAGUGACCAAAUUAUGUAUGAGCAAUGCAGCCCACAAA
rnacentral:misc_RNA from 1 species